rnacentral:rRNA from 1 species
UAGGGAAUCUUCGGCAAUGGACGAACGUCUGACCGAGCAACGCCGCGUGAGUGAAGAAGGUUAUCGGAUCGUAAAACUCUGUUGUUAGAGAAGAACAAGGACGUUAGUAACUGAACGUCCCCUGACGGUAUCUAACCAGAAAGCCACGGCUAACUACGUGCCAGCAGCCGCGGUAAUACGUAGGUGGCAAGCGUUGUCCGGAUUUAUUGGGCGUAAAGCGAGCGCAGGCGGUUUCUUAAGUCUGAUGUGAAAGCCCCCGGCUCAACCGGGGAGGGUCAUUGGAAACUGGGAGACUUGAGUGCAGAAGAGGAGAGUGGAAUUCCAUGUGUAGCGGUGAAAUGCGUAGAUAUAUGGAGGAACACCAGUGGCGAAGGCGGCUCUCUGGUCUGUAACUGACGCUGAGGCUCGAAAGCGUGGGGAGCAAACAGG